ACGAACGCUGGCGGCGUGCCUAAUACAUGCAAGUAGAACGCACAGUUUAUACCGUAGCUCGCUACACCAUAGACUGUGAGUUGCGAACGGGUGAGUAACGCGUAGGUAACCUGCCUGGUAGCGGGGGAUAACUAUUGGAAACGAUAGCUAAUACCGCAUAAUAUUGAUUAUUGCAUGAUAAUUGAUUGAAAGAUGCUAUUGCAUCACUACCAGAUGGACCUGCGUUGUAUUAGCUAGUAGGUGAGGUAACGGCUCACCUAGGCGACGAUACAUAGCCGACCUGAGAGGGUGAUCGGCCACACUGGGACUGAGACACGGCCCAGACUCCUACGGGAGGCAGCAGUAGGGAAUCUUCGGCAAUGGACGAAAGUCUGACCGAGCAACGCCGCGUGAGUGAAGAAGGUUUUCGGAUCGUAAAGCUCUGUUGUAAGAGAAGAACGGGUGUGAGAGUGGAAAGUUCACACUGUGACGGUAUCUUACCAGAAAGGGACGGCUAACUACGUG
rnacentral:rRNA from 1 species